UACGGGGGGGGCAAGCGUUGUUCGGAAUUACUGGGCGUAAAGGGCUCGUAGGUGGCCAACUAAGUCAGACGUGAAAUCCCUCAGCUUAACUGGGGAACUGCGUCUGAUACUGGAUGGCUUGAGUUUGGGAGAGGGAUGCGGAAUUCCAGGUGUAGCGGUGAAAUGCGUAGAUAUCGUGAGGAAGACCAGUGGCGAAGGCGGAUCUCUGGACAGUUCCUGACGCUGAGGCACGAAGGCCAGGGGAGCAAACAGG
rnacentral:rRNA from 1 species